rnacentral:rRNA from 1 species
GACCUGGUAGUCUACGCUGUAAACGAUGUCGACUUGGAGGUUGUGCCCUUGAGGCGUGGCUUCCGGAGCUAACGCGUUAAGUCGACCGCCUGGGGAGUACGGCCGCAAGGUUAAAACUCAAAUGAAUUGACGGGGGCCCGCACAAGCGGUGGAGCAUGUGGUUUAAUUCGAUGCAACGCGAAGAACCUUACCUACUCUUGACAUCCACGGAAUUCGCCAGAGAUGGCUUAGUGCCUUCGGGAACCGUGAGACAGGUGCUGCAUGGCUGUCGUCAGCUCGUGUUGUGAAAUGUUGGGUUAAGUCCCGCAACGAGCGCAACCCUUAUCCUUUGUUGCCAGCACGUAAUGGUGGGAACUCAAAGGAGACUGCCGGUGAUAAACCGGAGGAAGGUGGGGAUGACGUCAAGUCAUCAUGGCCCUUACGAGUAGGGCUACACACGUGCUACAAUGGCAUAUACAAAGAGAAGCGAACUCGCGAGAGCAAGCGGACCUCAUAAAGUAUGUCGUAGUCCGGAUUGGAGUCUGCAACUCGACUCCAUGAAGUCGGAAUCGCUAGUAAUCGUAGAUCAGAAUGCUACGGUGAAUACGUUCCCGGGCCUUGUACACACCGCCCGUCACACCAUGGGAGUGGGUUGCAAAAGAAGUAGGUAGCUUAACCUUCGGGAGGGC